UACAGAGGUCCCAAGCGUUGUUCGGAUUCACUGGGCGUAAAGGGUGCGUAGGCGGUCGGGUAAGUCUGAUGUGAAAUCUCACAGCUUAACUGUGAAACUGCAUUGGAUACUAUCCGGCUCGAGGAAUGGAGGGGAGACUGGAAUACUUGGUGUAGCAGUGAAAUGCGUAGAUAUCAAGUGGAACGCCAGUGGCGAAAGCGAGUCUCUGGACAUUUCCUGACGCUGAGGCACGAAAGCCAGGGGAGCAAACGGG
rnacentral:rRNA from 1 species